rnacentral:tRNA from 1 species
UAGAUUAAAGCCAGUUGAUUAGGGUGUUUAGCUGUUAACUAAGUUUUUGUGGGUUUAAAUCCCAUUAAUCUAG